GAUGAACGCUGGCGGCGUGCCUAAUACAUGCAAGUCGAGCGAACGGACGAGAAGCUUGCUUCUCUGAUGUUAGCGGCGGACGGGUGAGUAACACGUGGAUAACCUACCUAUAAGACUGGGAUAAUUUCGGGAAACCGGAGCUAAUACCGGAUGAUAUUUUGAACCGCAUGGUUCAAAAGUGAAAGACGGUCUUGCUGUCACUUAUAGAUGGAUCCGCGCUGCAUUAGCUAGUUGGUACGGUAACGGCUUACCAAGGCAACGAUGCAUAGCCGACCUGAGAGGGUGAUCGGCCACACUGGAACUGAGACACGGUCCAGACUCCUACGGGAGGCAGCAGUAGGGAAUCUUCCGCAAUGGGCGAAAGCCUGACGGAGCAACGCCGCGUGAGUGAUGAAGGUCUUCGGAUCGUAAAACUCUGUUAUUAGGGAAGAACAUAUGUGUAAGUAACUGUGCACAUCUUGACGGUACCUAAUCAGAAAGCCACGGCUAACUACGUG
rnacentral:rRNA from 1 species